GUGUCAGCAGCCGCGGUAAGACGAACCGUGCGAACGUUGUUCGGAUUCACUGGGCUUAAAGGGCGCGUAGGCGGCUUGCCAAGUCAGGGGUGAAAUCUUUCGGCUCAACCGGAAAAGUGCCUUUGAUACUGGCGAGCUAGAGGGAGGUAGGGGUGCGUGGAACUUCUGGUGGAGCGGUGAAAUGCGUAGAUAUCAGAAGGAACGCCGGUGGCGAAAGCGACGCACUGGAUCUCUACUGACGCUGAGGCGCGAAAGCCAGGGGAGCGAACGGGAUUAGAAACCCCAGUAGUCC
rnacentral:rRNA from 1 species